rnacentral:rRNA from 1 species
AACGAAAGCUGGCGGCAGGCUUAACACAUGCAAGUCGAGCGCCCCGCAAGGGGAGCGGCAGAAGGGUGAGUAACGCGUGGGAAUCUACCCAUCUCUACGGAAUAACGCAUGGAAACGUGUGCUAAUACCGUAUACGUCCUUCGGGAGAAAGAUUUAUCGGAGAUGGAUGAGCCCGCGUUGGAUUAGCAAGUUGGUGGGGUAAAGGCCUACCAAGGCGACGAUCCAUAGCUGGUCUGAGAGGAUGAUCAGCCACACUGGGACUGAGACACGGACCAGACUCCUUCGGGAGGCGGCAGGGGGGAAGAUUGUACAAUGGGAGCAAGCCUGAUCCAGCCAUGCCGCGUGAAUGAUGAAGGCGCUAGGGUUGUAAAGCUCUUUCACCGGUGAAGAUAAUGACGGGAACCGGAGAAGAAGACCCGGCUAACUUCGUGCCAGCCGCCGCAGUAACAC